CAGUUUUCUAAAAUGUAAUAUGUCUUGCAAAAUUUAUAUAAAUAAAAAAAUAUAUUUUUUGAUAAAAAUAUAUAACUAAUGGAUAUAUAAAAAAGUAAUUAUUAAGAUAAUGCCUUUAUUAUUAGACUAAAAAUUAAAACUUCAUAUAAAUCAAAAGUAAAGAGUGAGACUUUAUUUACUUUUACAAAAUUAUCAAAAAAAUAAAAGUGAAUAAAUAAAAAUUAAAUACACGUGAAUAUAUACAGCAGGUGUAUACUAAGGGGCUGGUAUUGUAUCAUGAUUUUCAAUGACUUUUAUUGACUUUUAAAAUCUAGGUGUAUUCAAUUAAGAUUUUUAAAUACUCUUUAAAAGUAAAGAGGUAUUGUAUCAGGAUUUCUAAAAAGUCUUUCAAAGUUUGAGGUAUUGAAUUACAACUUUUAAAGAGUUAUUAAAAGUCAGUUGUUAUUCA
rnacentral:lncRNA from 1 species